rnacentral:rRNA from 1 species
CCCCAGGUCANGCGGGACUACCCGCUGAGUUUAA